AGCGAGUUCUUUAGCUCUGAGUGUAGUUAAGUUGCUCUAUCAAUACUCCAAAAACUCCAAAAACGACCAGUACUUCGAACAAGAAGUUUUGCUUGAAGAACUCCAUAGAGUCUUAGUCAAAGCUGUCAACUACGACGACUUGCCUUACGAACUACUUAUAUUUGCACUGGGAACCAUUAAA
rnacentral:ribozyme from 1 species